AGGGCUAUAAUGUAAUGGUAGCAUUAAGGUCUCCAAAACCUUCCGUCCAGGUUCGAAUCCUGGUAGCCCUGCAA
rnacentral:tRNA from 1 species